UACAGAGGAGCCAAGCGUUGUCCGGAUUGACUGGGCGUAAAGCGCACGCAGGCGGACGCGCGCGUGGGGUGUGAAAUCUGGCCGCUUAACGGCCAGGCGCCAUCCCGUACGGCGGGUCUGGAGUGAUGCAGAGGGCGGUGGAAUUGCCGGUGUAGUGGUGAAAUGCGUAGAGAUCGGCAGGAACACCCAGGGGGAAACCAGCCGCCUGGGCAUCGACUGACGCUGAGGUGCGAGAGCGUGGGGAGCGAACCGG
rnacentral:rRNA from 1 species